UACAGAGAGUGCAAACGUUGUUCGGAAUUACUGGGCUUAAAGCGCACGUAGGCGGCGCCGCAAGUGUUGGGUGAAAUCCCACGGCUUACCCGUGGAACUGCCCAGGAGACUGCGGUGCUAGAGGAUGGUAGGGGAGAGCGGAACUCCUGGUGGAGCGGUGAAAUGCGUAGAUAUCUGGAGGAACACCGGUGGCGAAGGCGGCAUCCUGGCCCGGUAUUGACGCUGAGGCGCGAAAGCCAGGGGAGCAAACGGG
rnacentral:rRNA from 1 species